rnacentral:rRNA from 1 species
GGGUUGUGAGGUUAAGCGACUAAGCGUACACGGUGGAUGCCCUGGCAGUCAGAGGCGAUGAAGGACGUGCUAAUCUGCGAUAAGCGUCGGUAAGGUGAUAUGAACCGUUAUAACCGGCGAUUUCCGAAUGGGGAAACCCAGUGUGUUUCGACACACUAUCAUUAACUGAAUCCAUAGGUUAAUGAGGCGAACCGGGGGAACUGAAACAUCUAAGUACCCCGAGGAAAAGAAAUCAACCGAGAUUCCCCCAGUAGCGGCGAGCGAACGGGGAGGAGCCCAGAGCCUGAAUCAGUGUGUGUGUUAGUGGAAGCGUAUGGAAAGGCGCGCGAUACAGGGUGACAGCCCCGUACACAAAAAUGCACAUGCUGUGAGCUCGAUGAGUAGGGCGGGACACGUGGUAUCCUGUCUGAAUAUGGGGGGACCAUCCUCCAAGGCUAAAUACUCCUGACUGACCGAUAGUGAACCAGUACCGUGAGGGAAAGGCGAAAAGAACCCCGGCGAGGGGAGUGAAAAAGAACCUGAAACCGUGUACGUACAAGCAGUGGGAGCAUGCUUAGGCGUGUGACUGCGUACCUUUUGUAUAAUGGGUCAGCGACUUAUAUUCUGUAGCAAGGUUAACCGAAUAGGGGAGCCGAAGGGAAACCGAGUCUUAACUGGGCGUUAAGUUGCAGGGUAUAGACCCGAAACCCGGUGAUCUAGCCAUGGGCAGGUUGAAGGUUGGGUAACACUAACUGGAGGACCGAACCGACUAAUGUUGAAAAAUUAGCGGAUGACUUGUGGCUGGGGGUGAAAGGCCAAUCAAACCGGGAGAUAGCUGGUUCUCCCCGAAAGCUAUUUAGGUAGCGCCUCGUGAACUCAUCUCCGGGGGUAGAGCACUGUUUCGGCAAGGGGGUCAUCCCGACUUACCAACCCGAUGCAAACUGCGAAUACCGGAGAAUGUUAUCACGGGAGACACACGGCGGGUGCUAACGUCCGUCGUGAAGAGGGAAACAACCCAGACCGCCAGCUAAGGUCCCAAAGUCAUGGUUAAGUGGGAAACGAUGUGGGAAGGCCCAGACAGCCAGGAUGUUGGCUUAGAAGCAGCCAUCAUUUAAAGAAAGCGUAAUAGCUCACUGGUCGAGUCGGCCUGCGCGGAAGAUGUAACGGGGCUAAACCAUGCACCGAAGCUGCGGCAGCGACGCUUAUGCGUUGUUGGGUAGGGGAGCGUUCUGUAAGCCUGUGAAGGUGUACUGUGAGG